rnacentral:sRNA from 1 species
GUCGGUCUCAGAGUCGCGUGACUUCAACCCCCUCUUCGGGAGGCUGGGUCGUCAUGAUCCGGACCCCAUUGUCGGCCUCUGCCCAUCGCCUGCUCCUCCCAGGCUCCCGCGGCCGACCCCCGCGCAACAUGCAGCCCACGGGCCGCGAGGGUUCCCGCGCGCUCAGCCGGCGGUAUCUGCGGCGUCUGCUGCUCCUGCUACUGCUGCUGCUGCUGCGGCAGCCCGUAACCCGCGCGGAGACCACGCCGGGCGCCCCCAGAGCCCUCUCCACGCUGGGCUCCCCCAGCCUCUUCACCACGCCGGGUGUCCCCAGCGCCCUCACUACCCCAGGCCUCACUACGCCAGGCACCCCCAAAACCCUGGACCUUCGGGGUCGCGCGCAGGCCCUGAUGCGGAGUUUCCCGCUCGUGGACGGUUCUGGUCAGCCUCCGUCUCAUGCCAGUCCCAGGACCAGACUGCCGUGCGCCUC